GUGGCUUAAUUUGACUCAACGCGGGAAAUCUUACCGGGUCCGGACACACUGAGGAUUGACAGGCAAUAUCUCAUGUUUAAUAACCGUUAUUAACGUAUCGUGUUAUUUAAUACAUCGAGUGUUAAAUAUGCUAGUCCUUUCAUGAUUAUGUGAUAGGUGGUGCAUGGCCGUUCUUAGUUCGUGGAGUGAUCUGUCUGCUUAAUUGCGUUUCACUAAGGGCCCAUAAAUUCAAGGUAUGUUAGCUAUCUGUCGCUCUAUGGACCCCUUAACCGAGUUAAAUCGAGUUAAGCGCGCGUCUUUAUUUAAAGAGUUUAAGACAUUGCGCAUGCUGUUGGGCUCUGAAAGCAACGAACGUGACCGCAACGUCUUGUUGCCUUAAUAAAG
rnacentral:rRNA from 1 species